GCCUAUCGAUCCUUUAGA
rnacentral:snRNA from 1 species